rnacentral:rRNA from 1 species
UACGUAGGGUCCGAGCGUUGUCCGGAUUUAUUGGGCGUAAAGAGCUCGUAGGCGGUUCCGCAAGUCAGAUGUGAAAACUCAGGGCUCAACCCGGAGACGCCAUCUGAUACUGCGGUGACUGGAGUCUGGUAGGGGAACACGGAAUUCCUGGUGUAGCGGUGAAAUGCGCAGAUAUCAGGAGGAACACCGAUGGCGAAGGCAGUGUUCUGGGCCAGUACUGACGCUGAGGAGCGAAAGCGUGGGGAGCAAACAGG